GCAGUCGAGCGACUGAUUAGAAGCUUGCUUCUAUGACGUUAGCGGCGGACGGGUGAGUAACACGUGGGCAACCUGCCUGUAAGACUGGGAUAACUUCGGGAAACCGAAGCUAAUACCGGAUAGGAUCUUCUCCUUCAUGGGAGAUGAUUGAAAGAUGGUUUCGGCUAUCACUUACAGAUGGGCCCGCGGUGCAUUAGCUAGUUGGUGAGGUAACGGCUCACCAAGGCAACGAUGCAUAGCCGACCUGAGAGGGUGAUCGGCCACACUGGGACUGAGACACGGCCCAGACUCCUACGGGAGGCAGCAGUAGGGAAUCUUCCGCAAUGGACGAAAGUCUGACGGAGCAACGCCGCGUGAGUGAUGAAGGCUUUCGGGUCGUAAAACUCUGUUGUUAGGGAAGAACAAGUACGAGAGUAACUGCUCGUACCUUGACGGUACCUAACCAGAAAGCCACGGCUAACUACGUGCCAGCAGCCGCGGUAAUACGUAGGUGGCAAGCGUUAUCCGGAAUUAUUGGGCGUAAAGCGCGCGCAGGCGGUUUCUUAAGUCUGAUGUGAAAGCCCACGGCUCAACCGUGGAGGGUCAUUGGAAACUGGGGAACUUGAGUGCAGAAGAGAAAAGCGGAAUUCCACGUGUAGCGGUGAAAUGCG
rnacentral:rRNA from 1 species